ACGCAACUGACUCGCAAACCACCAACCGUGUUGAAAAUAUGUAUUUUGUUUUCAACUAACCUCAAAACAAAAUGUAGGUAACAAUUCAACCAUAAGCAAUGGAAAACACUGAGAACAAAAAAUUAGCAUUAACAGCUGAUCUAUAUUUUUUAAUUCAAAGAUUUUUGAGUGCUGGCCCUUUAAAGAAAACAUUAGCAGUUCUCAAUGAGGAACUUGAACAGCAUAAGAUUUUACCAAGUAGGAUUGACUGGGAGGGAAACAAUCAUGAUAGGACUGUUGAAGAUAUGGAGCAACAAUUCUCCCACAUCAGACCUGAUUUCCUAUUACAAUUGUGCUACCAAGCCUCAGAUACAUGUGGAACCACCCUAGAUGCCUCAACAGUAUGCUCCUUAUUAAGCACAAGAAACAAGGAUCUCAAAAAACCUUUCAGUAAUUUUAAUCAAUAUCAGAAAUAUGUUACAAGAUACCAUGGUGUUCCAAUUUAUGAUAUUAAAUUACCUUUUAAUUUUAUAAAUGGGUUAAGGGGCAGGGAAAUAUCAGGUCCAUUUGCCAGACAACGAGCAAUUACUCCAUCUUUAUACAGUGCCAUUCAAAUUCAGAGGAUUACGCUUGGUCAUUUAUCAGCUGUUUAUUGUCUACUAUUUGAUCAUUCAGGAAAAUAUAUAAUUACAGGUGCUGACGACUUACUAAUAAAAUUAUGGUCAGCCAACACGGGCCGAUUGAUCGCAACAUUCAGGGGUGCUUCGUCGGAAAUUACGGACAUAGCCAUCAAUGUCGAAAACACAUUAAUAGCAGCCGGAUCCAUGGAUCGCAUACUGAGAGUAUGGAAUCUGCAGAACGGCGUGCCCAUUGCCGUCCUAACCGGACACACCGGUUCAAUAACUUCCGUAAACUUUUGUCCCACGGACUGUUGGAAUUUUCGCUACCUAAUCAGCACAAGUUCAGACGGCAGCAUCGCAUUUUGGAUGUACACACACGAAAUCGGUAAAGUCAAUUUCAGAUCGACUCCGAUAAUGUACCAGGAAAAGAUCAGACCGGGCCAGGCCCAAAUGAUAUGUUCCUCGUUCAGUCCCGGCGGCACGUUUCUGGCAACAGGUUCUGCCGACCAUCACGUGCGCGUUUAUUACAUGAAAGGCGACGAAGGACCACAUCGUAUCGUGGAAACGGAAGCGCACUCCGACCGUGUUGAUUCCAUACAGUGGGCUCACUCUGGGCUCCGUUUUCUCUCUGGUAGCAAGGACGGAACUGCUAUCGUCUGGAUGUUCGAACGUCAACAGUGGAAGAAUGUCUGCCUUAACAUGACCACCAAGUUAUCCACCGCAAAAACCACAAGCGAAGAUCCAAAGAAACUAAAGGUAACGAUGGUGGCUUGGAAUUUAUCGGAUGAAUGGGUGAUAACGGCAGUGAGUGACUACUCGUUGAAAGUCUGGUCGCCAACCACGGGUGAACUGGUCAAAGUACUGACCGGCCACACAGACGAGGUGUACGUAUUGGAGUCACAUCCCCACGACGCUUACGUGGUCUUGUCGGCCGGUCACGAUGGCCAACUGUUCAUAUGGGAUUUAAAUCGUGGUGAAAUUGUAUAUAGAUUUUUGAAUACAAUAGAGGGACAGGGUUAUGGAGCAAUUUUCGACGUGAAAUGGGGUCCGGACGGACGAGGAUUUUCGGCAUCCGAUUCUCACGGGCACAUUUUGACUUUUGGAUUUGGUACUGGAAGCGUCUUCUUUGAACAAUUACCUAAAGAACUAUUCUUUCACACGGACUACAGGCCUUUAGUGAGAGAUGCCAAUCACUAUGUCCUCGACGAACAAACUCAAGUUCCUCCACAUCUCAUGCCUCCUCCAUUUUUAGUCGAUAUUGAUGGAAAUCCUUAUCCUCCGAUGUUGCAACGUUUGGUUCCUGGUAGGGAACACUGCAAGACUGAACAACUAGUACCGAAUAUUGUCAUUGGCAAUGAAGGUACACAAGAAGUGAUUCAAGAUAUCGAACAUCCACCGGUGUUAAUACCGAACGAAGAAGACAGAGGGACCGGUUCCGGAUUGCGUCUAGCUCGCAGUUUGUCAAACAGAAGUAGGGACAUGGAACGGUUGAGGAACAGCACCGGUGAUUGGCAGUCAGAUCCCAAUAUGGAAUGGAAAAGGAACACCCUAGUGCCUCCGCUCAGGCCAGCACUGUUGGAAAAGUUCAAGGAAUACCGAGAAUGCAUUAAGGACAACGAAAUUGAGGAGUAUCAAAAGCAAUUGAAACUGAGACCGCACAUGAUUUGCACAAGCACAUCCAACAACGUCAAAUCCACUGAUAAAAAGAAAAACAAAACUGCCAAAUAUCUUACCAGAGCUCAACGGUCUGAUCUUCCAGCUCCUGAAGUACAGGGUCCUACUGAUCCAGUAACUUCGUCAGAUAAUGACGACGACAUGUCCGAAUCGUCGGGCUAUUCGGAUUGGAUGGCGGAGGAGGGGGUCAAUUUAGAGCCGCCUAAACGAUCAAAACGUCGCCAAGUACAGUUGAGUAUCUCGGAUCCUGACGACGACGACGAUGAUGACGACGACGAAGACGACGACGAUGACGAGGAAGAGGAUGAUGAUGAGGACGAAGAUGAGGUAAUUGAAGGGCGCGCAGGAGGGAGUAAAAGACUUGAGAGGACAAAACGGAGGAGGAGGAGGCCACCACGUGAGGUAAAUGCUGAUAAACACAAUGAGAGAGAUAAAGACAAGGAAUUAGACGAUCCAAAACCAUCGACGAGUACCGGAAGCGUUCGAAUAUCUAAAAAACUUAGUGAGCAAUACAGAUUGAGCGAAUGGCUUUCUGAGACGAUUCCAAGAAAGUCUCCAUAUUAUCCUCAAAUGGGAGAUAUUAUUGUGUAUUUCAUUGAGGGCCAUCAGUUGUAUCUAGACGCGGUGAAACUGAAAAAUGCCUACGAUAUAAAUACGAAAGACUUGCCUUGGAAUAAGUUGGAUAUCAGAGAUCACGAGUACGUAAAAGUUAUCGGUAUUCAAUAUGAAAUUAAACCGCCAAGACUGUGCUGUCUGCGUUUGGCUUUAUUGGAUGACGAGGGUCGAAUGACCGGCAAUAUUUUCACCGUCAAGUAUCACGAUAUGCCCGACGUUUUAGAUUUCUUUGUUUUGAAACAAACUUAUACCACUGCCAUUUCACGCAAUUGGAAAAUUGGUGAUAAAUUUCGUUGUAUGAUUGACGACGGAUGGUGGAUAGGCGAAAUAAUCAACAAGUCCCCAGCAUCGGAAAAAUAUCCGAAUUCCUCGUUCUUAAGUUACGAAAUACGAUGGGAAAAUGGAGAACAGGAGAAGAUGUCACCUUGGGACUUUGAACCAAUAGAUGAAAACCUGAUUCUAGGUAUGCCAGCUAACGAGAACGAAGCACUGCCAGUUCAAGAAGAAGAAAUGAAUGCAAUAUUGUACAAACCAGUUCCGGAAGACUGGCCUAACAAUAACCGGGACGAGGUAUCCAAAAACAUAUUGGAAGGUCUCACCAAAGUGAUGCAAUUAGCGAUUGCCGAACCUUUUUUGGUUCCAGUAGAUUUAAGUAUUUAUCCUACAUAUGCAAUGAUUAUAGAGUAUCCUAUUGACCUGUCCACGAUAAAGGCAAGGUUCGAAAACAAUUUUUAUAGAAGACUGACUGCCGCACAAUUUGAUAUUAGGUACCUGGCGACCAAUGCUGAAAAGUUCAAUGUCAGACAUAGUGUAAUCGUAAAACAUGCCAGAAUAUUAACUGAACUAUGUCUCAGGAUAGUUAAAAACUGUACUGGUUAUGUGGAUGUACAAACUAUUUACCACGAACUAGUAGACACUUAUGAUUCAUCAGAUACUGAGGACGAAGUGGAGAUUGAUCCGUCUAGCAGUAGAACUCUGAGGUCGCUGCCAAACAGAACACUAAGAGAAUCCAGCGAAUGGAAGAAUGAAGCGAAGAAUCUCAUCGACGCUAUGUGGGAAGCUGAAGACUCCAUACCUUUUAGAACACCAGUUAACUUAUUCAAGUAUCCUGAUUACAAACAAGUUGUGAAGAAUCCAAUGGACUUAGGCACUGUCAAAGAAAACUUGUUGAAUAAUAAAUAUAAAACUCCUGAAGCCUUUAGCAAAGACAUGAAACUAAUUUUUCAAAAUUCUAGAACGUACAACACUAACAAACGAUCAAGAAUUUACGUUAUGACCGUACGUUUGGCAGCUAUAUUCGAAGAUCACAUGUCUAAAAUAAUAGAAAACUGGAAGAUUGCGAAAACUCAAGAAUCCGAUGAUAAUUCUGAUGAAGAAACUAGCCGUUCCUCUCUGCGAUCUUCAACAUCCCGAGCUGAAUCUACAAUUAAUCCAGUCAGCAGGGUGAACAACAAGAUUGAGUCUAGUGGCAGUGACAGUGAAGACAUGCCGCUAGAAGUGUUGAAAACUGGUAACAGAACCAACACAGAAACGGACAGUACUAGUCAGGAAGUAGUAGAUGAUCAGGUUCAUGUUGAGGAAGAGCAGUCGUCGAAUUCUGAGUCUGAAGAGAGUUACAAGCCGGAAGAGGAGUACGCAGGACCUUCAAGGAACUCGAGGACUACUAGGAAAAGGCACCAAACGACAUCUGACGAGGAAGAGGAAGAGCAGGAGGAAGAUGUAGAAGAAGAGACUACAGAAGAUUCGGACGAUUAUGAUAAUUACCGACGGAAAAGGACUAGUUUACGCAAGAGACCCGCGAGAAAAAAACAGUUUUAUGCUAGUCCAUCCGACGAUAGUGAUGAUGAUUGUUUGUCUGUGAAUACGAGAAGUAAGCGAAGAAAACUGGCUAGUGAUAGUGACAGUGAUGAUAGGCCUCUUAGGACUCCUCAAGAGGGUGAGCAAAACGGAACGUAUUUCUCUUCGGUGAGCAGUCGGGGGAGGCUGAGGAAAUUGACACCUAGAGCGAUUGCUUUAAUGAAAAAUUUUGCUAGAAUAUUCAAAGUAAAAGAAAAUCGAAACAUUACCCUGUAGAAGAAUCAUAUUUCAUAGAAAUAUUUGAAAAGGACUGUUAAAUUGUUAUUUCAUAAUUGUGUGCAAAAACAUGUUAGUAACCAGCCAGACACUCUCAAAAUUCUGAGAGCGAAGAAACAAGCGACUCGAGAAGCAGGGAAAGAAGAACACACAGUGACGACAGUAACAGUAUGGACAGACCACAGUCGUCUGUGCGUUAUGAAGCUAACGGCAGC